rnacentral:rRNA from 1 species
AAUAGAUACCCAGGUAGUCCACGCCCUAAACGAUGUCGACUAGGUGUUGGGGAAGGAGACUUCCUUAGUACCGCAGCUAACGCGUGAAGUCGACCGCCUGGGGAGUACGGUCGCAAGAUUAAAACUCAAAGGAAUUGACGGGGACCCACACAAGCGGUGGAUGAUGUGGAUUAAUUCGAUGCAACGCGAAAAACCUUACCUACCCUUGACAUGGUCGGAAGCCCGAUGAGAGUUGGGUGUGCCCGAAAGGGAGCCGACACACAGGUGCUGCAUGGCUGUCGUCAGCUCGUGUCGUGAGAUGUUGGGUUAAGUCCCGCAACGAGCGCAACCCUUGCCAUUAGUUGCCACAUUCAGUUGGGCACUCUAAUGGGACUGCCGGUGACAAACCGGAGGAAGGUGGGGAUGACGUCAAGUCCUCAUGGCCCUUAUGGGUAGGGCCUCACACGUCAUACAAUGGCGCAUAACAGAGGGUUGCCAACCCGGCGAGGGGGAGCCAAUCCCAGAAAGUGCGUCGUAGUCCGGAUCGGAGUCUGCAACUCGACUCCG